GAAACUAACAAGGAUUCCCCUAGUAACGGCGAGUGAAGCGGGAAGAGCACAAAUUUAAAAUCUACCUGGUUUCCAGGUCGAGUUGUAAUUUGAAGAUACGUUUUUGACGCUCUGGGUUGGACUAAAUCCUUUGGGAUAAGGUAUCAUAGAGGGUGAGAAUCCCGUAUAUACCAACCGUAGGGAUGUUAUUAAAUACGUUUCUAAGAGUCGAGUUGUUUGGGAAUGCAGCUCUAAAUGGGUGGUAAAUUUCACCUAAUGCUAAAUAUAAGCGAGAGACCGAUAGCGAACAAGUACAGUGAUGGAAAGAUGAAAAGAACUUUGAAAAGAGAGUUAAAUAGUACGUGAAAUUGUUGAAAGGGAAACGAUUGAAGUCAGUCAUGCCGGCGGGAAUCAACUUAGGGGAAACUCUGGGUGCACUUCUUCGUUUGGCAGGUUAGUGUCGAUUUUGGAUAUCAUAGAAUAAUUGGGGGAAGGUAGCUCUUUCGGGAGUGUUAUAGCCCUUGGUAGAUGUGAUGUCUGGGAUCGAGGAUUGCAACGGAUACCCUUCGGGGCUAACCGCCUGAUCUCUAAUUGGUGUUGGGUUACGGCCAGCAUGCUGACCGUGAUCUAAUUACUGGUUAAAAGGUUAGAGCGUGUAUAAAUUCGUUAAGGACGCUGACGUAAUGGCUUUAAACGAC
rnacentral:rRNA from 1 species